rnacentral:lncRNA from 1 species
UGAAAUUGGAAAAAGAGAUACAUUUAUUAAAAGUUAAUGUUAUUGUACCAAAUCUAACACAACAUUUGUCACUAUGUGUUGAUCUCUGAAUACUAAAUUUGAAAACAACUAUGUUGAUUAAAGCAAAGCCGCAGAAAAGGGACAUCUUAUUAAAUUUUUUUUAAUACAGUCAAGGAAAAAAACGCUAAAAACCUACAAUAUCAAUUCUUAGAAUUGGGAGUUGGGCCUAACUCAUUCUUACAAAACCGGCUUGUAAAGUGAGGAUUGUCUCUACUUUAUAAACAUAUAUUUAGGCCAUCUCACAACUGAUGUAGGACUUCUUAACACACCCCCUCGCGCCCAGCACUUUUGGGCUCGGGGCGAGGAAAUAAAUGGUGAAUGGCCCGAUCAGAAAUCUGAUAGGGUGCGGCCCAACAGAUUGUGGAGGAGGCUCUGAUACCAUCUUAGAAUUGGAAGUUGGGCCUAACUCAUCCUUACAAAACCAGCUUGUAAGGUAAGGAUUGCCUCUACUUUAUAAACAUAUAUUCAGGUCAUCACGCAACCGAUGUGGGACUUAUUAACAUCAAUAAAGAAAGGAACUGCCAUUUAAAAAUAAAGGAAUAAAAUAAUAAUUUAUUUUACUAUUUCGUAUUAUUUGUUGACAUGCAUUAACAAAUUAACAAAUCCAAUAACAUUUUACCGGGAAAAUAUAAUAUUUACAUGUCAAAUUACAUUAAGGUGCUUUCUGUGAAGAAUCCGUAACACUGACAACUAAUUAUAUUUUAAUAGGCUAACUAUGGAGGAAGCUCGGAUAUGACACAAAACCUGGAUACAUUCCCCUCUUAUGCAUCACCAGUAAAGCAAUUAUUUGUAAGUAUGAUUUUAUGUCUUUUAAAACAGUAACAAAUAGAAUUAAAGAAGAGACUUACCUAAACCAGAGAGGUUUGACUUACACGCUAGAGGUGUGCACCUUUGUGAAGCAUCUUCGCUUUAGUCAUAAAGAGGACAUGGCAAUUUCAGAAAAGCAAAGGAUAUAACACAAUUAGG